GAUGAACGCUGGCGGCGUGCCUAACACAUGCAAGUCGAGCGAGAAGUUUGAAAAAUGAGUUUUCGAACAAGUGAUUCAAACGGAAAGCGGCGGACGGGUGAGUAACGCGUAGGCAACCUGCCCCGUGCAGAGGGACAGCCUCGGGAAACCGGGAUUAAGACCUCAUGAUAUCGGGUUAUCACAUGGUAAUCCGGUCAAAGAUUUAUCGGCAUGGGAUGGGCCUGCGUCUGAUUAGCUGGUUGGUGGGUAACGGCCUACCAAGGCGACGAUCAGUAGCAGAACUGAGAGGUUCAUCUGCCACAUUGGAACUGAGACACGGUCCAAACUCCUACGGGAGGCAGCAGUGAGGAAUAUUGCACAAUGGGCGAAAGCCUGAUGCAGCAACGCCGCGUGAGCGAAGAAGGCCUUUGGGUCGUAAAGCUCUGUCCUUGGGGAAGAAACAAAUGACGGUACCCUUGGAGGAAGCCCCGGCUAACUACGUGCCAGCAGCCGCGGUAA
rnacentral:rRNA from 1 species